CAGCCGCCGCGGGAAUACGAAGGGUGCAAGCGUUACUCGGAAUUACUGGGCGUAAAGCGUGCGUAGGCGGCUUUUUAAGUCGGAUGUGAAAUCCCUGAGCUUAACUUAGGAAUUGCAUUCGAUACUGGGAAGCUAGAGUAUGGGAGAGGAUGGUAGAAUUCCAGGUGUAGCGGUGAAAUGCGUAGAGAUCUGGAGGAAUACCGAUGGCGAAGGCAGCCAUCUGGCCUAAUACUGACGCUGAGGUACGAAAGCAUGGGGAGCAAACAGGAUUAGAUACCCCGGUAGUCCCUGUCUCUUAUAC
rnacentral:rRNA from 1 species